rnacentral:rRNA from 1 species
UACGUAGGGUGCGAGCGUUGUCCGGAAUUACUGGGCGUAAAGAGCUCGUAGGCGGUUUGUCGCGUCGUCUGUGAAAUUCUGCAACUCAAUUGUAGGCGUGCAGGCGAUACGGGCAGACUUGAGUACUACAGGGAGACUGGAAUUCCUGGUGUAGCGGUGAAAUGCGCAGAUAUCAGGAGGAACACCGGUGGCGAAGGCGGUCUGCUGGGCUGUUGCUGACGCUGAGGCGCGACAGCGUGGGGAGCAAACAGG